rnacentral:rRNA from 1 species
ACGUAGGAGGCGAGCGUUAUCCGGAUUUACUGGGCGUAAAGCGCGUGCAGGCGGUCUGGUAAGUUGGAUGUGAAAGCUCCUGGCUCAACCGGGAGAGGUCGUUCAAUACUGCCAGACUCGAGGACGGUAGAGGAAAGUGGAAUUCCGAGUGUAGAGGUGAAAUUCGUAGAUAUUCGGAAGAACACCAGUGGCGAAGGCGACUUACUGGACACAUAUUGACGCUGAGGUGCGAAAGCGUGGGGAGCAAACAGGA